UACGGAGGGUGCAAACGUUGCUCGGAAUCAUUGGGCGUAAAGCGCACGUAGGCGGACUGUUAAGUCGGACGUGAAAUCCCUCAGCUUAACUGAGGAAGUGCAUUCGAAACUGGCAGUCUUGAGUAUGGAAGAGGGUCGCGGAAUUCCCGGUGUAGAGGUGAAAUUCGUAGAUAUCGGGAGGAACACCAGUGGCGAAGGCGGGUCUCUGGACAGUUCCUGACGCUGAAGCGCGAAAGCUAGGGGAGCGAACGGGG
rnacentral:rRNA from 1 species